GACAGAGGGUGCAAACGUUGUUCGGAAUUACUGGGCGUAAAGCGCGUGUAGGCGGCCCGGAAAGUCGGAUGUGAAAGCCCUGGGCUUAACCUAGGAAGUGCAUUCGAAACUCUCGGGCUUGAGUUCUGGAGAGGAAGGCGGAAUUCUCGGUGUAGAGGUGAAAUUCGUAGAUAUCGAGAGGAACACCGGUGGCGAAGGCGGCCGUCUGGACAGUGACUGACGCUGAGACGCGAAAGCGUGGGGAGCAAACAGG
rnacentral:rRNA from 1 species